rnacentral:rRNA from 1 species
CCUACGGGAGGCUGCAGUGAGGAAUAUUGGUCAAUGGACGCAAGUCUGAACCAGCCAAGUCGCGUGCAGGAUGACGGCCCUCCGGGUUGUAAACUGCUUUUAGUUGGGAAUAAAAGGGGGCUCGUGAGCCCCGUAUUGUAUGUACCAUCAGAAAAAGGACCGGCUAAUUCCGUGCCAGCAGCUGCGGUAAUACGGAGGGUCCGGGCGUUCUCCGGAUUUAUUGGGUUUAAAGGGAGCGUAGGGUGGUUUUUAAGUCAGCUGGGAAAGUCCGCGGCUCAACCGGGGAAUUGCAUUUGAAACUGGCAGUCUUGAGUACAGUAGAGGUGGGCGGAAUGCGUGGUGUAGCGGUGAAAUGCGUAGAUAUCACGAAGAACUCCGAUUGCGAAGGCAGCAUACCGGCGCUCAACUGACGCUCAUGCACGAAAGUGUGGGUAGCGAACAGGAUUAGAUACCCGAGUAGUC